GCGGGAAGAGCUCAAAUUUAUAAUCUGGCACCUUCGGUGUCCGAGUUGUAAUCUCUAGAAAUGUUUUCCGCGUUGGACCGCACACAAGUCUGUUGGAAUACAGCGGCAUAGUGGUGAGACCCCCGUAUAUGGUGCGGACGCCCAGCGCUUUGUGAUACAUUUUCGAAGAGUCGAGUUGUUUGGGAAUGCAGCUCAAAUUGGGUGGUAAAUUCCAUCUAAAGCUAAAUAUUGGCGAGAGACCGAUAGCGAACAAGUACCGUGAGGGAAAGAUGAAAAGCACUUUGGAAAGAGAGUUAACAGUACGUGAAAUUGUUGGAAGGGAAACGCUUGAAGUCAGACUUGCUUGCCGAGCAAUCGGUUUGCAGGCCAGCAUCAGUUUUCCGGGAUGGAUAAUGGUAGAGAGAAGGUAGCAGUUUCGGCUGUGUUAUAGCUCUCUGCUGGAUACAUCUUGGGGGACUGAGGAACGCAGUGUGCCUUUUGGCGGGGGUUUCGACCUCUUCACACUUAGGAUGCUGGUGGAAUGGCUUUAAACGACCCGUCUUGAAACACGGACCAAGGAGUCUAACAUGCUUGCGAGUAUUUGGGUGUCAAACCCGGAUGCGUAAUGAAAGUGAAUGGAGGUGGGAACCGCAAGGUGCACCAUCGACCGAUCUGGAUUUUUAAUGAUGGAUUUGAGUAAGAGCACGUAUGUUGGGACCCGAAAGAUGGUGAACUAUGCCUGAAUAGGGCGAAGCCAGAGGAAACUCUGGUGGAGGCUCGUAGCGGCUCUGACGUGCAAAUCGAUCGUCAAAUUU
rnacentral:rRNA from 1 species